rnacentral:lncRNA from 1 species
CACCCGGAGCCAGCGCGUGCAGGCUGGUUCCGCCCCCCCUUCCUUGCCCCCCACGCGCGCCAGCCGGCGGCUUUUAAAUCUCCAGAGACCAGAUACCCAGCUGCAUCUGGUUGGCCUCACGGAAGCCUGAGAAGUCAUGAAGGACCUGGAGCUCCCUUGCUGUUCCCAUCUCUUGCCAUCUCCAUCAUCCAGGGCCGGUGGUCCACUUUGAGAUGUCUGUGCUGUCUGCCUCAGGAUGAGGGGCUGACUCUCUGACUUCAAGAUAGGAAUAAAAGGAGGAGGAGUCUGCUACACCCACCAUCAAGUGCGCUCACAGUAUUUACUCAACCAGUGACAAGGAGGGCCAAACAAGAGGAAAAAUCCUAGAACUGCAGCAAGACAGAUGGGAAUCACACUAGAGGAGGGACUUCCCAGGGCAUCUGAGGUAAGGUGUAAAAUCUCUGCCUUCUCCUCCCUAAAUGUCCCCACAACUGAGUCCAGUGCAAUACAGCCUGAAGAUGAUAGAUGGGUGAGAUGGCAUAUGGAAGCCCCAUUGCAGGCCUCUGAUGAUGGGGGUCCUCCUGGCUGAGUAGCUUUUCCCAUUCUGGAAGGGAUGUCCUGAAUGUGCUAGGAGUUGUGAGAGAUGACUGGAAUUCCAGUAACUUUUGGCAGGAUUUACUACUGUAUCUGGAUCUUUGGGAUUGAGAGAGGAGCAAGAAGCUGACACUGCCUACUGCAAGUGGCUAUAAAGCCAUUCUCACGGUCCUGAUGCAAUGCUCAAGAUAAAAAGCAAGCCUGCGGGAAGGAGAGACACUGGCCUGAGUCCAGGUGUCUGAGCAGGAACACCAGCCCCAGACUCCAAAUGAAGCUCCAGAGGAACAGAAGGAGUUGGUGGGAAGGGCCCCUCUGCUGGGCUUCAGGGCCAGAAAAGGGAGAAGGAACAAACACAAGUAGUGGCAGAGCACCAUCCAGUCAUGUUGGCCAAAUGAUGCCUCCUUUGUUCAGUAAGAAGUGAAGAGAGAAUGCUAGAACCGCAGCCGGGCGUGGUGGUUCACGCCUGUAUCCCAGCACUUUGGGAAGC